GUUUUGACGGAUGAGCAUUGGAGGAGAAUAUUUCGGUAAUCCAAGACUUUCCUCUUCUUAAUCUUUAAUCAUCUUUUAAUAGGUGUAAUAUUUUCUGGAUACAACAAUAUGUUUUAAACUCUAACAAUACAUGAUCAAGGUUUCAGUGGCGUAGCACAAGACUAAGAGUAUCAUUGUAAGCAAAUCAUUUUACAAAACAAAUCAUUAUACACUUUUUUCAAUAAAAUGUUUACUAUAAUAGUUCAGCUUAUUAUGCGCUGACAUCUCUCUUUCCAGAC
rnacentral:lncRNA from 1 species